UGGGGAAUUUUGGACAAUGGGCGAAAGCCUGAUCCAGCAAUGCCGCGUGUGUGAAGAGGGCCUUCGGGUUGUAAAGCACUUUUGUCCGGAAAGAAAUCCUUGGCUCUAAUACAGUCGGGGGAUGACGGUACCGGAAGAAUAAGCACCGGCUAACUACGUGCCAGCAGCCGCGGUAAUACGUAGGGUGCAAGCGUUAAUCGGAAUUACUGGGCGUAAAGCGUGCGCAGGCGGUUUGCUAAGACCGAUGUGAAAUCCCCGGGCUCAACCUGGGAACUGCAUUGGUGACUGGCAGGCUAGAGUAUGGCAGAGGGGGGUAGAAUUCCACGUGUAGCAGUGAAAUGCGUAGAGAUGUGGAGGAAUACCGAUGGCGAAGGCAGCCCCCUGGGCCAAAUACUGACGCUCAUGCACGAAAGCGUGGGGGAGCAAACAGGAUUAGAUACCCUGGUAGUCCACGCCCUAAACGAUGUCAACUAGUUGUUGGGGAUUCAUUUCCUUAGUAACGUAGCUAACGCGUGAAGUUGACCGCCUGGGGAGUACGGUCGCAAGAUU
rnacentral:rRNA from 1 species